GAUGAACGCUGGCGGCGUGCCUAAUACAUGCAAGUCGAGCGAACGGACGAGAAGCUUGCUUCUCUGAUGUUAGCGGCGGACGGGUGAGUAACACGUGGAUAACCUACCUAUAAGACUGGGAUAACUUCGGGAAACCGGAGCUAAUACCGGAUAAUAUUUUGAACCGCAUGGUUCAAAAGUGAAAGACGGUCUUGCUGUCACUUAUAGAUGGAUCCGCGCUGCAUUAGCUAGUUGGUAAGGUAACGGCUUACCAAGGCAACGAUGCAUAGCCGACCUGAGAGGGUGAUCGGCCACACUGGAACUGAGACACGGUCCAGACUCCUACGGGAGGCAGCAGUAGGGAAUCUUCCGCAAUGGGCGAAAGCCUGACGGAGCAACGCCGCGUGAGUGAUGAAGGUCUUCGGAUCGUAAAACUCUGUUAUUAGGGAAGAACAUAUGUGUAAGUAACUGUGCACAUCUUGACGGUACCUAAUCAGAAAGCCACGGCUAACUACGUGCCAGCAGCCGCGGUAAUACGUAGGUGGCAAGCGUUAUCCGGAAUUAUUGGGCGUAAAGCGCGCGUAGGCGGUUUUUUAAGUCUGAUGUGAAAGCCCACGGCUCAACCGUGGAGGGUCAUUGGAAACUGGAAAACUUGAGUGCAGAAGAGGAAAGUGGAAUUCCAUGUGUAGCGGUGAAAUGCGCAGAGAUAUGGAGGAACACCAGUGGCGAAGGCGACUUUCUGGUCUGUAACUGACGCUGAUGUGCGAAAGCGUGGGGAUCAAACAGGAUUAGAUACCCUGGUAGUCCACGCCGUAAACGAUGAGUGCUAAGUGUUAGGGGGUUUCCGCCCCUUAGUGCUGCAGCUAACGCAUUAAGCACUCCGCCUGGGGAGUACGACCGCAAGGUUGAAACUCAAAGGAAUUGACGGGGACCCGCACAAGCGGUGGAGCAUGUGGUUUAAUUCGAAGCAACGCGAAGAACCUUACCAAAUCUUGACAUCCUUUGACAACUCUAGAGAUAGAGCCUUCCCCUUCGGGGGACAAAGUGACAGGUGGUGCAUGGUUGUCGUCAGCUCGUGUCGUGAGAUGUUGGGUUAAGUCCCGCAACGAGCGCAACCCUUAAGCUUAGUUGCCAUCAUUAAGUUGGGCACUCUAAGUUGACUGCCGGUGACAAACCGGAGGAAGGUGGGGAUGACGUCAAAUCAUCAUGCCCCUUAUGAUUUGGGCUACACACGUGCUACAAUGGACAAUACACAGGGCAGCGAAACCGCGAGGUCAAGCAAAUCCCAUAAAGUUGUUCUCAGUUCGGAUUGUAGUCUGCAACUCGACUACAUGAAGCUGGAAUCGCUAGUAAUCGUAGAUCAGCAUGCUACGGUGAAUACGUUCCCGGGUCU
rnacentral:rRNA from 1 species